rfam:Takifugu rubripes genomic scaffold, scaffold_3012
GUCAGGAUGGCCGAGGGGUCUAAGGCGCUGCGUUCAGGUCGCAGUCUCCUCUGGAGGCGUGGGUUCGAAUCCCACUUCUGACA